rnacentral:rRNA from 1 species
AUGCCGCUGAUCUAUUCGCUACAUCGAUGGAAACCGGGCACUAGCCACGGAUCCCUUUGCCGACGCCGAGCAGUCAUCGAGGAGCCGGCACCGAGGUCCUCAAGGAGGCGCCGCCGCCAUCGUUGCAGGCCUCCGGGUUGCCAUCGGGACACCGCUGCCGAGAUCCGCCUUCGCCUUCGUCCGGCAGAGGCGACGGAAGGCAGCCGGGAGGGGAAGCGCACAACGACCCGGAAGACAUCCGCCCUCACGCGCUCAUCGUCUUGCUCGAUCUACCCGAGGGAUGCCAAUGGGCGCCUCGGCGGCGUCCACGGCGAGAUCUGA